AUGGCAUACAAGCUAAGAGACAGAGAUCUGAAGGACAACAGAGGCUUUCAGAAGAGAGCAUCAAUCUCUGAAGAUAUUCAAAAUAGAGAAAUGAUGGAAACCAUAUUAAAAGAGUUGCAGCGAAUGCAAGAAAAACAGGAUGCGUACCAAAAAUUGGCGCAAGAACAAAUGCUGAAUUUUAAGAGGGAGAUAAAAGAAGAGUUAAAAGAAGUGAAGCAAGACAUAAGUGCAUUGAAUCAGGAACUGAGAAAUUUGGAAAGGGAUAAAAAAGAGCUCAAGAGAGCGCACGAGAAGCUCCAAGAAGAGGUUAAAGCCGUAGAACUCAAAAGCAACAAAAUGGAAGAAAGGCAAGAAAGGAUGGAAGCCAAAGAAUUAGAGUUCCAAUUAAGAUUUAGAAACGUAUGGGAAGAACCAAAAGAGAAUAUAAGGAAAAAAAUGACUGAAAUAAUAUCUAAACUGCUUCAGUGCUCGGAAGAAGAAGUGGAAGAUAAGAUGGAUAGAGUAUAUAGAAUAAACACCAAUUUUGCAAGAAGGAAUAAAACGGCUCGCGACACAAUUGUGAACUUCACAAAGAAGAUAUUUAGGGACGAAAUCCUCAGAAUGAACAAUGGCCAACCAAUAAUUUAUAAAGGGAAGAAGAUCGCCGUACUGAAAGAAUUUCCGAGUGAAGUGAUAAACAGAAGAAGAAAGUAUACAUUUCUAGUAGAGGAACUAAAAAAAUAUAAUGUCAGGUUCCGAUGGGAAAGACCAGAAGGAUUAAUGGCGACCUAUCAAGAGCAAAAAUUUUGGAUCACGUCUGAAGAAAAGGCCAAAGCCUUUCUUAAAAGAUUAAAGGGGGAUAUGGAAAAACAGGAUAUUGGAGAAAACGAAGAUUCAAGGAAAAUGAGGGAAAGAGAAAGGAGACUGAGAGCAGAAUCACAAAGUAGGAAAGACAUAACCCUAGGCCUCCCAGGCACAAGUUCUGGGGAGAGAGAGGACUUAUUAGCGGCGGGGAAAAUAGAUGACGAAGCGGCCACAGAAGAGGAAGAAGAGGAAAUAGACGAGGAAGAGGAACAAAGGGAGAGCGAGAACGAAGGAUGA
rnacentral:lncRNA from 1 species